AUUGAACGCUGGCGGCAUGCCUUACACAUGCAAGUCGAACGGUAACAGGUCUUCGGAUGCUGACGAGUGGCGAACGGGUGAGUAAUACAUCGGAACGUGCCCGAGAGUGGGGGAUAACGAGGCGAAAGCUUUGCUAAUACCGCAUCAGAUCUCAGGAUGAAAGCAGGGGACCGCAAGGCCUUGCGCCCACGGAGCGGCCGAUGGCAGAUUAGGUAGUUGGUGGGAUAAAAGCUUACCAAGCCGACGAUCUGUAGCUGGUCUGAGAGGACGACCAGCCACACUGGGACUGAGACACGGCCCAGGCUCCUACGGGAGGCAGCAGUGGGGAAUUUUGGACAAUGGGCGCAAGCCUGAUCCAGCCAUGCCGCGUGCAGGAUGAAGGCCUUCGGGUUGUAAACUGCUUUUGUACGGAACGAAAAGACUCUGGUUAAUACCUGGGGUCCAUGACGGUACCGUAGGAAUAAGCACCGGCUAACUACGUGCCAGCCGCCGCAGUAAAAC
rnacentral:rRNA from 1 species